rnacentral:rRNA from 1 species
CCUACGGGAGGCAGCAGUAGGGAAUCUUUCACAAUGGGCGAAAGCCUGAUGGAGCAACGCCGCGUGCAGGAUGAAGGCCUUCGGGUUGUAAACUGCUUUUAUAAGCGAGAAAUAUGCUGGUAACUUAUGAAUAAGGAUCGGCGAACUACGUGCCAGCAGCCGCGGUAAUACGUAGGGGGCAAGCGUUAGCCGGAAUUACUGGGGGUAAAGGGUGAGGAGGUGGCCUGGUAAGCCAGAUGUGAAAGCCUUGGGCUUAACCCGGGGAUGGCAUAUAGAACUAUCAAGCUAGAGUACAGGAGAGGAAGGCGGAAUUCCUAGUGUAGCAGUGAAAUGCGUAGAUAUUAGGAAGAACACCAGUGGCGAAGGCGGCUCUCUGGGCCGAAACUGACGCUCAGACACGAAAGCGUGGGGAGCGAACAGGAUUAGAUACCCGGGUAGUC